GGUUAAGUUAGAAAGGGCGCACGGUGGAUGCCUUGGCACUAGGAGCCGAAGAAGGACGGGACUAACACCGAUAUGCUUUGGGGAGCUGUACGUAAGCGUUGAUCCAGAGAUUUCCGAAUGGGGGAACCCACUAUCUUUAGUCGGAUAGUAUCCUUACGUGAAUACAUAGCGUGAGGAAGGCAGACCCAGGGAACUGAAACAUCUAAGUACCUGGAGGAAGAGAAAGAAAAAUCGAUUUCCUGAGUAGCGGCGAGCGAAACGGAAAGAGCCCAAACCAAGAAGCUUGCUUCUUGGGGUUGUAGGACACUCUAUACGGAGUUACAAAAGAAAGUUAUAAAUGAAGCGGUCUGGAAAGGCCCGCCAAAGACGGUAACAGCCCGGUAGUUGAAAUGGCUUUCCCUCCAGAGUGGAUCCUGAGUACGGCGGAACACGUGAAAUUCCGUCGGAAUCCGGGAGGACCAUCUCCCAAGGCUAAAUACUCCCUAGUGACCGAUAGUGAACCAGUACCGUGAGGGAAAGGUGAAAAGCACCCCGGAAGGGGAGUGAAACAGUUCCUGAAACCGUGUGCCUACAAGUAGUUAGAGCCCGUUAAUGGGUGAUAGCGUGCCUUUUGUAGAAUGAACCGGCGAGUUACGAUUUGUUGCAAGGUUAAGCGGAAAAAGCGGAGCCGUAGCGAAAGCGAGUCUGAAUAGGGCGCAUAAGUAACAGGUCGUAGACCCGAAACCAGGUGAUCUACCCAUGUCCAGGAUGAAGGUAAGGUAAUACUUACUGGAGGUCCGAACCCACGCACGUUGAAAAGUGCGGGGAUGAGGUGUGGGUAGCGGAGAAAUUCCAAUCGAACUUGGAGAUAGCUGGUUCUCUCCGAAAUAGCUUUAGGGCUAGCCUCGAGGUAAAGAGUCAUGGAGGUAGAGCACUGUUUGGACUAGGGGCCCUUCUCGGGUUACCGAAUUCAGAUAAACUCCGAAUGCCAUGUACUUAUACUCGGGAGUCAGACUGCGAGUGAUAAGAUCCGUAGUCGAAAGGGAAACAGCCCAGACCACCAGUUAAGGUCCCCAAAUAUAUGUUAAGUGGAAAAGGAUGUGGGGUUGCUUAGACAACCAGGAUGUUGGCUUAGAAGCAGCCACCAUUGAAAGAGUGCGUAAUAGCUCACUGGUCGAGUGACCCCGCGCCGAAAAUGUACCGGGGCUAAACAUAUUACCGAAACUGUGGAUGAACCUCUUUAGAGGUUCGUGGUAGGAGAGCGUUCUAAGGGCGGUGAAGUCAGACCGGAAGGACUGGUGGAGCGCUUAGAAGUGAGAAUGCCGGUAUGAGUAGCGAAAGAAGGGUGAGAAUCCCUUCCACCGAAUAUCUAAGGUUUCCUGAGGAAGGCUCGUCCGCUCAGGGUUAGUCGGGACCUAAGCCGAGGCCGAUAGGCGUAGGCGAUGGACAACA
rnacentral:rRNA from 1 species